rnacentral:rRNA from 1 species
ACAUAGCUUUCCGGUGAGUUUGGAGCUCCCAGUAUGGGAGGUGAGGCCUGCCCAAUGGUUGUAUCUGAAUUUAGACGGUAAGAUAAGUUGUUUGAUUAAAGGCAAUUGAAUGGCCGCGGUAACUCUGACCGUGAUAAUGUAGCGCAAUCAAUCGUCAAUUAAUAGUUGACAAGUAUGAAUGGCGUAACGAGUGCCCCACUGUCUCAAGAUAAAAACCAGUGAAAUUGAAAUGGUGGUGAAGAUGCUACCCACAAAUUGUAAGACGAGAAGACCCCGUUGAGCUUUACUGGAGGCUUGAAUUGUUUUGUAAAAUGGUGAUUGUGUGGUUACACCCCUGCAAGUUUAAGAAAACCAAUAGGGCCAUGCCCGUGGAAGUUCAAGUUGGACAGUUUGAUUGGGGCGAUGGCCUUCUAAAGAGUAACGAAGGUGAACAAAGGUAAUGAGAUAAUAUAAUGAAAAGCCUGACAGUAAGGGGGGCAGACAAGCUGACACAGAGAGGAAGAUGCUGUGGGUUAUAGUGACCCGUUAGUUAAGGGUGGAUUUACUAGCGACUAACCAAUAAAAGUUACCAAGGGGAUAACAGCGUAAUUUACGUCUGAGAGUUCAUAUUGAUGACGGAGUUUCCCACCUC